UUUUUUUUUUUUUUUUUUUUGGUGGGGGUGAGAAAAACAGUGAAGUAUCAGUCUUAGACUUUGCUGUAUGAUCUGUAUUCCUUACAUAUGAGGCAAGAUCUGGAAGUCUCUGGAUAGACGUGUAGAUGUCUGUUUUACCAGGACAAAAGGAAUACUGCCUAUUCACAUUAUUUCCAAUGUAUUCAGAUUUCCUGUUUGCUUCUAGUCAUCCUCUAGCAUUGUGGAGGUCCUGUUUUGAAUCCAGCUCAAAUCAGCAAGGGUGGAGAUUUUCAAGCAACUUCUGCUUGCUUUGUUUGGUAGUGAAAAGAACCAGUGACCUCAGUUGACUUUCCAUUUCAUUAGGCACCUACAGGCUUAAUAUCAAAGUCAUAAUUAGUCACCUCAGUUGGCAAGCUUGGGCUGAAUGUGUGGCAACAAAAAUACCGGAGGGGAGUCCCUUCAGGUCAUGCUGGAGGGAGACUGGUCUGUGACAGGUGUCACAGGGUGCUCCAUGUUUGCUCUCAAUUUCCAUUGCUUGCUCUCUUACGUGCUCUGUGUCUGAGGGAAAGGGGAAUUAAAGGAUAUAAUUUUCUCUGUCAAUCAAAUAGACUGGUGAGUCUCAUGAGAACUCAUCUGUAAUCAAAGUCAUUCUGC